CUUAUCCUCUUCUUCUCCACAAGUACAAGCAUGGACAUGGCAUAAAAAGGGAGAGGGACGUGGAUGAGGACACAUCUGAUGUAGGAAACCUAACCGCAAAUUCAUGCUCUGGUUGCUAAUAUCGACAAAUCACGCAACCAUAGGGGUCGGUUGCGUAGACUUGUAGGAGCGAUGCAAUUCUAAAAUGUACGUCAUAUCCAAUAAUCAUGAUGCCCUCAUCCCCCUAGCUCUUUUAUUCCAUUGGCGGAGGACACAGAUGCAUGAGAUGAGUGCUCCGAACUCAAUCCUCAGGCAAACAUGGCAUCAAGGAGGAAGUUGUAGACAAUAAUUCAACCCCAAUAAAUUAUCUUCUUAAGUAAACAAAACUACAAAUCCAACCGUCUCUUUCCUCAUACCCUAUUUUUACCUCCCUUACCUGCAAAAAAAAAAAUAUUUCUUUUGAGUCUCUUCUCGAGGACAUUGGAUACAGUUUGCUUUAUACCUAACCCAUCUACAUAUACAUGGUUGGAUAGACAGUUUUGCUUUAGCAUUAUUCAUCUAAGACCUUGCAUGUGGGGACGAGAUAUUAUGGUGCAGCCAAGGAUGACUUGCCGAAAAUAAUUUGCUCGAUCGUUAAUGUGCUUCUCCAGUUUCUAUUGCAAUUUAUGCAUAGGGCAAUAUAUAUAUCCUUUAUAGCUUGUUAAUUCAGAUAUUGACUGAGGAAUCAAUAAUGGGCAAGUUGUGUUUGGCUACAUGUUUAUCUCAUAUUCACAUGUUAGAUCUGUGGAUGAUGAGAAUUAAAAUGGAGGCAAUGCUGAAGAUGGUGGAGACUUGGCAAUGCAUGAUGUUUCUAGCUCUAUACCAGGGUUCAAAAUCUCGAUCGAGACCGGUACGACUCGGCCGAGUCAUAUCCGCCUCGACCAUGGCCGGUACCGGACCGAUACCCGAGUUGGAGUAGAAAUUGUGGAGAAGA